rnacentral:rRNA from 1 species
GACGAACGCUGGCGGCGUGCUUAACACAUGCAAGUCGAACGGAAAGGCCCUGCUUGCAGGGUACUCGAGUGCGAACGGGUGAGUAACACGUGGGUGAUCUGCCCUGCACUUCGGGAUAAGCCUGGGAAACUGGGUCUAAUACCGGAUAGGAGCCAUUUUUAGUGUGAUGGUUGGAAAGUUUUUUCGGUGUAGGAUGAGCUCGCGGCCUAUCAGCUUGUUGGUGGGGUAAUGGCCUACCAAGGCGGCGACGGGUAGCCGGCCUGAGAGGGUGGACGGCCACAUUGGGACUGAGAUACGGCCCAGACUCCUACGGGAGGCAGCAGUGGGGAAUAUUGCACAAUGGGCGCAAGCCUGAUGCAGCGACGCCGCGUGGGGGAUGACGGCCUUCGGGUUGUAAACUCCUUUCGCUAGGGACGAAGCUUUUUGUGACGGUACCUAGAUAAGAAGCACCGGCUAACUACGUG